AUGGAUUCUCGGGCUCUCUGCACCGUGGCCCUGAUCAUUUUAUUCCUGCCGUUGUGCGGCUCGGACGACCGGCUUGUCCCUGGCAAGUCGCUGUAUCCCGGCAACACCAUCAUCUCCGAUGGUGGCACGUUCUCCUUGGGCUUCUUCAACCCCUCCAACUCCACUCCAGCCAAGCUGUACCUUGGUAUAUGGUACAACAACAUCUCUGAGUUCACAGUUGUGUGGGUUGCGAACCGUGAAACCCCAGUCACCAACAUCACUUCCUUUGCACCCAUGCUCUCCCUCACCAACACCUCCAAUCUCAUUAUCUCCGAAGCUAACAAUAGUGUCCGUAUCCUUUGGACGAGGGCCAACGUGACAACUAUUUCCCCGGGCUCAUCUACCCCGACGGCGGUGCUUCUGAACACCGGCAACCUCAUCAUUCGCUUGUCAAACGGCACCACAGUGUGGCAGAGCUUCGACCACCGCACAGACACGCUCCUCCCGGGGAUGAAGAUGCGGAUCAAAUACAGCACAAACGGUACUGGGGAUCGUCUGGUUUCCUGGAAGGGCCCCAACGAUCCCUCUCCAGGGCGCUUCUCCUACGGUGGCGACCCAGACACACCCCUCCAAGUAUUCCUGUGGGACGGGGAGAGCUUGGUGACCCGUGGCAAUCCCUGGACGGGGAUCCAAGUGACUAGCGUCAGCCAAAAACAGCUAGCAGGGACAAUGAGUUUUAGUGAUCUUAUCAUGUACAUCGCCGUGGUCGACAACGGUGAUGAGAUCUAUGGCACAUAUAGCCUCUCUGAGGGCGCCCCACUCACAAGGUCAGUGCUGACCUACUCAGGUGAGUAUUACCUCAAGAGCUGGAGUAGCAACUUGUCGGCGUGGGUUGUCCUUAUGAAGUGGCCAGCUGUUGAAUGCAACCUCCAUGGUUACUGUGGCCCGUAUGGCUACUGCGAUGAGACGGCGGCACCAGUCCCAAUGUGCAAGUGUCUUGAUGGCUUCGAGCCAACAAACAAAGAGGAGUGGACUAGCGGCAGGUUCUUGGCAGGAUGCCAGCGGAAGGAGCAGCUGCACGGGUGUGAUAGUAACUUCUUGGCCUUGCCGGCCAUGAAGUCACCAGACAAGCUAGCACUUAUUGGAGGGGGCACAAGUACGUUCGAGGAGUGUGCGGCUGAGUGCAACCACAAUUGCUCCUGUGUGGGGUACGUGUACCGCAACGCGAGUAGCGGCAGGUCUGGAGGAGACAUAACGGCAUGCAUGGUAUGGUCGGGGGUUGACACCGGAAAGGUAGGCAUAGGCGGCGAGACACUCUAUCUCCGACUUGCAGGCAUGGAUGCGGCAGGUGGUAAACAUAGAAAGAUUAAUGCGGUCAGGAUUGUGCUGUCGUUUUUAGGCAGUGGUGUUCUCGUACUCAUAUGCAUCUCUCUUGCAUGGUUAAAAUGCAAAGGCAAGAACAGAAGAUGGAGAAAGCACAAGAAUCUAAGAUUGGAUGGUAUAAGUACCUUCGAUGAAUUUGGGAACGAAAACACUUCUCAUGAUCAAGCAUUGGCAUUCGUGAAAUUAGAAGAAAUUGUCCUCGCUACCCAAAAUUUUUCGGAAGGAUGCAUGAUUGGACAAGGAGGCUUUGGAAAAGUAUACAAGGGACUGUUAGGUGGUCAAGAAGUCGCAGUAAAGAGGCUCAGUAGAGAUUCUCAACAAGGAACAAAAGAAUUCAGGAAUGAAGUGAUUCUAAUUGCAAAAUUGCAACAUAGAAACUUGGUUCGACUUCUUGGAUGUUGUAGUGAGGGAGAUGAAAAGCUCUUGAUAUAUGAGUAUCUUCCUAACAAGAGCUUAGAUGCUAACCUCUUUGACGACUCAAGAAAACAAUCAUUGGAUUGGAUAACACGGUUUAGUAUAAUCAAAGGGGUUGCCAGGGGUCUUCUAUAUCUUCAUGAAGACUCAAGGUUCACCAUAAUUCAUAGAGACCUCAAAGCUGGAAAUGUUUUGUUGGAUGAAGAUAUGAAACCCAAGAUAGCGGAUUUUGGUAUGGCCAGAAUCUUUGGUGACAACCAGCAAAACGCAAAUACCCAACGCGUAGUUGGAACAUAUGGGUACAUGGCUCCUGAGUAUGCAAUGGAAGGCGUAUUCUCUACCAAGUCUGACGUCUACAGUUUUGGUGUGCUGCUACUUGAGGUUGUAACUGGUAUUAAGAGAAACUCCAAUAGUCAAACCAUGGGAUUCCCUAGCCUCAUAAUAUAUUCAUGGCAUAUGUGGAAGGAAGAGAAGACCGAUGAACUGCCAGACUCAUGUAUCAUAGAUACUUCACCAGACGAAGUUUUGCUUUGCGUCCAGGUAGCACUCUUGUGUGUCCAGGAGAACCCAGAUGAUAGACCGCUCAUGUCAUCUAUUGUGUUCGUCCUAGAGAAUGGAAGCACCACACUUGCAGCUCCAAGCCGGCCCGCCUACUUUGCACGACGAAUAGCUGAAAUGGAUCAAAUGGGAAAUAAUAUGCAGACUUCCGCAAACAGUCUUACUCUUUCUGAGAUAGAGGGGCGAUGA
rnacentral:rRNA from 1 species